rnacentral:rRNA from 1 species
CGGGACGGGUGAGUAAUGUCUGGGAAACUGCCUGAUGGAGGGGGGUAACUACUGGAAACGGUAGCUAAUACCGCAUAACGUCGCAAGACCAAAGAGGGGGACCUUCGGCCUCUUGCCAUCGGAUGUGCCCAGAUGGGAUUAGCUAGUAGGUGGGGUAACGGCUCACCUAGGCGACGAUCCCUAGCUGGUCUGAGAGGAUGACCAGCCACACUGGAACUGAGACACGGUCCAG